GUCACAGCUGCACCACGUGCAGCACCCAGGUUCAGUGUCUACAAGCUCUGUAUGGAGGUGCUGAAUGUUCCUCAUAGAGAUUCAUUAAUUUAAUGCAUCUCUAUGAGGAGAUGAAGAUUGGUACAUUUGCUGUGCAUGCACAAAAUCCUCCCAAUGUUUUCCCAAGGGAAAGUAUUGGCUUAGUUGAGGUCAUAAAGAUUGAGGGUACUAGCCAUGGUGAAACUGGCACGGCGUCAGAAAAUGGGGGUGAAAGGAUGAGUAAAAAACACCUUCCUCAUGCAAUCGGAGGGGGCAGAUACCUAAACGCAUACACACACACACUCUUGAUAGGAACUCUCACACACACACAACCACUCUUGACAGGCUCACACACACACAAACACACUCUCUCUGACAGGCUUUCGCACACACUCACUCUCUGACAGGCUCACACACACACACUCUACAACAGGCUCACACACACACACCCCAAGACAGGCACACACACACACUCUCUCUCUCUGACAGGCUCGCUCACACACACGCACACUCUUGACAGGCUCACACACACUCUUACGCUGACAACAGGCUUGCAUGCACACACUCUGACAGACACACUCACUCUGACAGGCUCUCUCAUACACUGACAGAGUAUCACAGGCACACACACACACACUCACUUUGACAAGCUCACACACACUUAAAUUUUUGUUUUAAUUGAAACCCACUCAGCCUCCCUACCUUUGGGAGAGCUGAGUCAGUCUUUCCUGUGGUCCAGUGGGGCUGCUCUCCUCCUGUGUGCGAAGGAGCAGUACUCUGCCUGUAGCUCCUAUCUGCUCCCUCGCGCUCUGUAAUGAUGCCGGGGCCGGAAUGACGUCAUAUUCCAGCUCCCGAUAUCA